CAGCCAGGCAACCCCACUUUGGUGGGAAGGAAGAAUCAACCGUUCAGGACCGUUGCCUGGCCGUUAUGUAGUCCUACUGGUAUUGAUGAGUGCUGCUAUGAAGAGCUAACGUUAGCUCGAGUGUUAACUUAAAUGUCUAAAAGGUGAACAUGAGAACUUAAGUUAUUUAAUGACGAACGUGUUAAAAUGAUUGGUUGUUUUGGAGCGCUAUCAAAGUUUUGUGUCCCAGGUUAAACUCUGUUUCCAGCGGUCCGAGGAGACCGAACACGUCCACACGAUCAACCGCCACCAGCCGAGAGAAUGAGAGCCCUGGGCCUGACGUCGUGGUUCCCGACAGCAGGGGGCAGCAGAGACGCGGUCCCCGUCCUCCUCUCCGAGGCCCGUCAAGGAUGUGGAGGUGGGCCUGCUGCGAGUCGCUGGAGACCCGCCGGGAAUUAACCCUGCUCACCAGACAACACAAGCGCUGCUAGGAUAUCACAUUUAAAUGUUUAAAUUGGCCGAGCACACAGAGAAACUGAGCAAUGCGCCGUUUGAGGUUCAAGUCUAGCCGUUUUGUAAUCGAAACUUAAACCAGGCCUAUUGCUCAUGCAGGUUUGAAUCGUGAUUCUUCUCACACUGAUCGCGCUAAAACUGAUUCAAACAAGCCAUCUAUAAUUUAAAAAAUCUUGGGCCUAUUUCCAUUUGAUCAAUAUCAAAAUGCAAUGUUCCCCGUGUAGCCCCAUUAAAAAGGGCCACCGUGUCUUCUUUUAUUGGCCUAAACCUUCGUAUGCAAAUAUUGAAGUGAAUCGUGCAGCUAUCAUUAUCCGCGGUCACAUUAAUACAAAGAAGGGGUAGCAUUUAAUCACCUUUAAUUGUGGAGCGAGGGAGUGAGGUUUUGUGUGUUCAUUUCAAUAGCUAUUCCUUUGGUUAAUUAUGAGUAAUUUAAACAUAGACUAGCAUGUAGGCUACUUAAAAUAAAUUGC
ensembl:lncRNA